UGAAUACGAGAUGCUACGGCGUCGAAGCAGUCUAUGUCAUACUUCCAAGAAAAGCUCGCACUGUCAUAAACAAAUAAUGCCUGUACCAUAACCGACACAGGUGGGUAGGUAGAGUAUACUAAGGGGCGCGAGAUAACUCUCUCUAAGGAACUCGGCAAAAUGACUCCGUAACUUCGGGAGAAGGAGUGCCUUAUUUAUAAGGUUGCAAUAACAAGAUCCAAGCAACUGUUUAUCAAAAACACAGGUCUCCGCUAAGUCGUAAGACGAUGUAUGGGGGCUGACGCCUGCCCAGUGCCAGAAGGUUAAAGAAGUUGGUUAGCAUUCGCGAAGCUGAUAACUGAAGCCCUGGUGAACGGCGGCCGUAACGAUAACGGUCCUAAGGUAGCGAAAUUCCUUGUCGGAUAAGUUCCGACCCGCACGAAAGGCGUAAUGAUUUGGAUACUGUCUCGGAGAGGGGCUCGGUGAAAUAGACUUGUCUGUGAAGAUGCGGACUACCUGCACCAGGACAGAAAGACCCUAUGAAGCUUACUGUAACUCGAGAUUGAAAUUGGACUUUACUUGCGCAGUAUAGGUGGGAGGCGUUGAUAAUAUUCUUGCGGGAUUAUUUGAGCCAUCAGUGAGAUACCACUCUUGUAAUGUUAGAUUUCUAACUUUGUAUCAUUAUCUGGUCAAAGGACAGUUUCAGGCGGGCAGUUUGACUGGGGCGGUCGCCUCCUAAACGGUAACGGAGGCGCACAAAGGUUUCCUCUGAACGGGUAGAAAUCGUAUCUAGAGUGUAAAGGCAUAAGGAAGCUUGACUGUGAGACCUACAAGUCGAGCAGGGACGAAAGUCGGUCUUAGUGAUCUGACGGUGCUGAGUGGAAAGGCCGUCACUCAACGGAUAAAAGUUACUCUAAGGAUAACAGGCUGAUCUCCCCCAAGAGUUCACAUCGACGGGGAGGUUUGGCACCUCGAUGUCGGCUCAUCGCAUCCUGGGGCGGUAGUACGUCCCAAGGGUUGGGCUGUUCGCCCAUGAAAGCGGUACGCGAGCUGGGUUCAGAACGUCGUGAGACAGUUCGGUCCAUAUCCGGUGUAGGCGUUAGAAUAUUGAGAGGAGCCUUCUUUAGUACGAGAGGACCGAGAAGGACAUACCUCUGGUGUACCAGUUAUCGUGCCAACGGUAAACGCUGGGUAGCUAUGUAUGGAGUGGAUAACCGCUGAAAGCAUCUAAGUGGGAAGCCCACCUCAAGAUAAGUACUCUCACC
rnacentral:rRNA from 1 species